UGAUAAUCUGUGCACACGGCAUAAGAAAUGAGACCGGACCGGAGGACUGAAGAGCUAUAGCGACACAACAAGAGAACAGAAGAAGGUCCUGCGAUGUCAGCUUUAAUCAGGUGGUCCCUAAGGUUCCGUGACCUACGAUGGAGAUGGAGGAUUAACCUGGAUAGCCAGUGAGCCGUGUACCAGGAGCUGGAUUUUUUUCGCAUAUGAGAAAAGAACUCAAAAGGACCUAAACUCAUCUUUGAAAAAGAUAAUCACCCAUAACAGUGGUCAUGGGAUUCCAGUCCAAUAAUCUGCUAAAAGUAAACUGUGCAACUGAUUCCUAAAAUACCCCAAAA